CGAUUCUACAAUACCUAUCCGUACUGUGAGCUAGAGUUGGCUGUAGAAAUGGCUAGAGAUUGCCAAUUUGAUUGGAAAAAGUAUGAGAAUUCAAAUUACAGAUUGGGGAUUCGAAUGGCGACAAAAGAUCUGCUAAAACAUGAAUGAAAAAUACAAAACCGAUUCUACAAUACCUAUCCGUACUCUGAGCUAGGGUUGGCUGUAGAAAUGGCUAGAGAUGGACAAUUUGAUUGGAAAAAGUAUGAGAAUUCAAAUUACAGAUUGGGGAUUCGAACGGCGACAAAAGAUCUGCUAAAACAUGAAUGAAAAAUACACAACCGAUUCUACAAUACCUAUCCGUACUGUGAGCUAGGGUUGGCUGUAGAUAUGGCUAGAGAUGGACAAUUUGAUUGGAAAAAGUAUGAGAAUUCAAAUUACAGAUUGGGGAUUCGAAUGGUGACAAAGAUCUGCUAAAACAUGAAUGAAAAAUACAGAACCGAUUCUACAAUACCUAUCCGUUCUGUGACUAGGGUUGGCUGUAGAAAUGGCUAGAGAUGGCCAAUUUGAUUGGAAAAAGUGUGAGAAUACAAAUUACAGACUGGGGAUUUGAAAGCCGAAAAAAGAUCUGCUAAAACAUGAAUGAAAAAUACAGAACCGAUUCUACAAUACCUAUCCGUACUGUUAGCUAGGGUUGGCUGUAGAAAUGGCUAGAGAUUGCCAAUUUGAUUGGAAAAAGUAUGAGAAUGCAAAUUACAGAUUGGGUAUUCGAAUGGCGACAAAAGAUCUGCUAAAACAUGAAUGAAAAAUACGGAACCGAUUCUACAAUACCUAUCCGUACUCUGAGCUAGGGUUGGCUGUAGAAAUGGCUAAAGAUGGACAAUUUGAUUGGAAAAAGCAU
rnacentral:lncRNA from 1 species